UGCUAAACUCAAGCCUACUUGUAGGCCUGGUCUUGGGUGUUGUCCAUUCCGGUGGAUACGCCUCAAAUGCAACGGCGACACUGCCUGGCUUCAAGCGUCUAGGAAACUUCAUCGCUUCUGUCAGAUAAAUGUCUGCCUCUCAACCCCAAUUUUUAUUCUGGGUUGACCUCGGAUCAGGUAGGGAUACCCGCUGAACUUAA
rnacentral:misc_RNA from 1 species